ACGGAGGGUGCAAGCGUUGUUCGGAAUUACUGGGCGUAAAGCGCGUGUAGGCGGACUCAGAAGUCGGGUGUGAAAGCCCCGGGCUUAACUCGGGAAGUGCGCUCGAAACCAUGGGUCUUGAGAACCGGAGGGGAUCGGGGAAUUCCCAGUGUAGAGGUGGGAGGCGUAGAUAUUGGGAGGAGCGCCGGUGGCGAAGGCGCCGAACUGGACGGUUUCUGCCGCUGAGCCACGAAAGCGUACGUAGCAAACAG
rnacentral:rRNA from 1 species